GAUGAAGAACGUAGCGAAAUGCGAUAAGUAAUGUGAAUUGCAGAAUUCAGUGAAUCAUCGAAUCUUUGAACGCACAUUGCGCCCGCCAGUAUUCUGGCGGGCAUGCCUGUCCGAGCGUCAUUUCAACCCUCGAACCCCUCCGGGGGGUCGGCGUUGGGGAUCGGCCCUUUACCGGCCGGCCCCGAAAUACAGUGGCGGUCUCGCCGCAGCCUCUCCUGCGCAGUAGUUUGCACACUCGCACCGGGAGCGCGGCGCAGUCCAAUGCCGUAAAACACCCAACUUUCUGAAAUGUUGACCUCGGAUCAGGCAGGAAUACCCGCUGAACUUAAGCAUAUCAAUAAGCGGAGGA
rnacentral:misc_RNA from 1 species